AGGGAAUCUUCCACAAUGGACGCAAGUCUGAUGGAGCAACGCCGCGUGAGUGAAGAAGGCUUUCGGGUCGUAAAACUCUGUUAUUGAAGAAGAACGUGUGUGACAGUAACUGGUCAUGCAGUGACGGUAUUCAAUCAGAAAGUCACGGCUAACUACGUGCCAGCAGCCGCGGUAAUACGUAGGUGGCAAGCGUUGUCCGGAUUUAUUGGGCGUAAAGCGAGUGCAGGCGGUCUUUUAAGUCUGAUGUGAAAGCCUUCGGCUUAACCGAAGAAGGGCAUCGGAAACUGGGAGACUUGAGUGCAGAAGAGGAGAGUGGAACUCCAUGUGUAGCGGUGAAAUGCGUAGAUAUAUGGAAGAACACCAGUGGCGAAGGCGGCUCUCUGGUCUGUAACUGACGCUGAGGCUCGAAAGCGUGGGUAGCAAACAGGAUUAGAUACCCUGGUAGUCCGCGCCGUAAACGAUGAAUACUAAGUGUUGGAGGGUUUCCGCCCUUCAGUGCUGCAGCUAACGCAUUAAGUAUUCCGCCUGGGGAGUACGACCGCAAGGUUGAAAC
rnacentral:rRNA from 1 species